GACGAACGCUGGCGGCGUGCUUAACACAUGCAAGUCGAACGGAGUGGCGAACGGGUGAGUAACACGUGGGUGAUCUGCCUUGCACUUCGGGAUAAGCUUGGGAAACUGGGUCUAAUACCGGAUAGUGCAAGAUGAGCUCGCGGCCUAUCUGCUUGUGGGUGGUGUAAUGGCCUACCAAGGCGUAGACGGGUAGCCGGCCUGAGAGGGGGUACGGCCACAUUGGGACUGAGGUACGGAGCAGUCGCCAACGGGGGGCAGCAGUGGGGAAUAUUGCACAAUGGGCGGAAGUCUGAUGCAGCGACGCUGCGUGGGGGAUGAAGGCCUUCGGGUUGUAAACUCCUUUCGACAGGGACGCGGUACCUGUAUAAGAAGCACCGGCUAACUACGUGCCAGCAGCCGCGGUAAUAC
rnacentral:rRNA from 1 species